rnacentral:lncRNA from 7 species
AGAGAGUAAGGAAGGGAUGUGAAACUGGCUAUUUCAGCUCAUGAGCAGUGAUUCACUCAUGCAUAGGAAGAAAUGCAGAGGUGAGGUUAGUGGGAAGAAAAGCCGACUGUCUGCAGGACGCAAGCAGGCCUGCUCCUUCCUGUGCAGCUCACUUGCUUCCCCUUCAUCCUAAGAAACUGUGUGAGUACGUGGCAAAUAUGGCCGUUGUACCUAAAACAAAGUGUGGCUUUCAGUCCUUGGAGUCCUGGGCAUGGGAAGAGGCCCAGUCGCAGCCUGAAGGGAGUUCUACUCCAGCUGGAGGCAGAGCCCAGCUGAGCCAUGGGCAGCGUUCACCCCACCUAGCUUACAUCAAAGAGCUUGGUUCUUGGCUUCAGAAUGACUCCAGCCUGAAAAGAAGGAGAGAACUGAGUACACGGGUGAUGAUGCAAGCAGGAUGUGGGUGGAUUUGUGCAUAUCUAUGAGCAGGUGCUUUGCAGAUGGAUUCAGUUUCAAGAAACACAGGCUCUGCAAUGGCACAAGAUGAAAUGGAGUUGAAUAUGGAAGCAGCUGGUAAGAAAGUCACUUGCUUAUGAAAUAGGAUUUAAUGAAGGAGACUGGUAGAGUAGGAAAAACGGGGAGGCAGAGAUCAGAAAAUAAAGCAGCCCUCCAUUACCUUUGUGCACUGCUUUGGAUUUUGAACUCCUUAGGAAAGUGUGUGGUGAAUAUCUGAGGAAAAGAACAUCCUCUGUGUAGGCUGCCUUCCCAUUUCCCACUUACCUUUUUAUUAAGGGACAGACCAUUAGAAAGCUGGCUGCAUAAAAGAAAAGAAAUGGCUAGGAAAUGAAGUUAUGAUUAAAUGGCUAUUUCUGGUUGAAAAAUGAGGAGGUGGAGACUUUUGUAAAAGUUUCUCCGUUCCCCUGUGAAAGAGGACAGCGUGUUUUGAACAACCUGGGGAGAAAGGAACAAAAGCCACAAAUCCCCUGCUGCUUCUGCUCCCUGCUUCCACCAAAUGGGCUCAUCAUUACUGCAUGUGAACCCAAGGAGCAUCUCUUGGUACUGUAUGGCUGGCACUGUGAGCAGGCAAAAAUGCAAUUAAUACUCAAAUCUGGGAUCUCUGACCUCUAACACCAGGCUGAAACCUCUGGCACGUUUGUUCUCUUCUGCUAUGAGGCACCGGGAGAGCCUGUAGGGUCUAACCCGAGGAAGAAAGGGCAGUAUUGACUUGGUCCUUUCUACAAAGAUGUUAGAAAUGAACAAUCAGUAGUUGAGAACCCAGCCCAAGAUGUCAUCCCUCUGAAAACCCAGACUGUGUAUGACUUUCUCUGACCAUUUCUCGAUGCCACCAGCACAAGUCAG